CAUGACUCAAUCCUCUGAACCCAAGCAGCUUCUGGGCGCAGCAUGACCACAUCGACCCAAGGCUCGAAAGCUUCUAUCUCCAAGAGGUGGGAACUGAAGAAGUCACACUUUUAGAGGAAGGAGAAGGAGUGCAACAUUAUGAGUACAAACCCAAACUGAAUCUUCUGCAUCAGGAAAGAAAUGUGCUCUGCUGAUGUCAAGGAGAGCUCCUUACAAAGAGACAUUUUUUCAGAAAAACAUGAUCAGCAGUAUAUGCACCAUCAAGGUACAGACUUGCUCAGGAAGAUGGACCAGCAGAGCCCAGUUUGUCUCAGGAUGAGCACUGACCAUGGGAAGGCUGAGCCCCAUCAGCAGGAUG
rnacentral:lncRNA from 1 species